rnacentral:rRNA from 1 species
UACGUAGGGUGCGAGCGUUAAUCGGAAUUACUGGGCGUAAAGCGUGCGCAGGCGGUUUUGUAAGCCGGAUGUGAAAUCCCCAGGCUUAACCUGGGAAUGGCAUUCGGGACUGCAAGGCUGGAGUGCGGCAGAGGAGACUGGAAUUCCUGGUGUAGCAGUGAAAUGCGUAGAUAUCAGGAGGAACACCAGUGGCGAAGGCGACUUUCUGGCCUGUUCUUGACGCUGAGGCGCGAAAGCUAGGGGAGCAAACGGG